GAUGAACGCUGGCGGCGUGCCUAAUACAUGCAAGUCGAGCGAACAGACGAGGAGCUUGCUCCUCUGACGUUAGCGGCGGACGGGUGAGUAACACGUGGAUAACCUACCCAUAAGACUGGGAUAACUUCGGGAAACCGGAGCUAAUACCGGAUAACAUGUUGAACCGCAUGGUUCAACAGUGAAAGACGGUCUUGCUGUCACUUAUAGAUGGAUCCGCGCCGCAUUAGCUAGUUGGUAAGGUAACGGCUUACCAAGGCAACGAUGCGUAGCCGACCUGAGAGGGUGAUCGGCCACACUGGAACUGAGACACGGUCCAGACUCCUACGGGAGGCAGCAGUAAGGAAUCUUCCGCAAUGGGCGAAAGCCUGACGGAGCAACGCCGCGUGAGUGUAGAAGGUCUUCGGAUCGUAAAACUCUGUUAUUAGGGAAGAACAAAUGUGUAAGUAACUAUGCACGUCUUGACGGUACCUAAUCAGAAAGCCACGGCUAACUACGUG
rnacentral:rRNA from 1 species